AUUGAACGCUGGCGGCAGGCCUAACACAUGCAAGUCGAGCGGAUGAAGGGAGCUUGCUCCUGGAUUCAGCGGCGGACGGGUGAGUAAUGCCUAGGAAUCUGCCUGGUAGUGGGGGAUAACGUGCGGAAACGGGCGCUAAUACCGCAUACGUCCUGAGGGAGAAAGUGGGGGAUCUUCGGACCUCACGCUAUCAGAUGAGCCUAGGUCGGAUUAGCUAGUUGGUGGGGUAAAGGCCUACCAAGGCGACGAUCCGUAACUGGUCUGAGAGGAUGAUCAGUCACACUGGAACUGAGACACGGUCCAGACUCCUACGGGAGGCAGCAGUGGGGAAUAUUGGACAAAGGGCGAAAGCCUGAUCCAGCCAUGCCGCGUGUGUGAAGAAGGUCUUCGGAUUGUAAAGCACUUUAAGUUGGGAGGAAGGGCAGUAAGUUAAUACCUUGCUGUUUUGACGUUACCAACAGAAUAAGCACCGGCUAACUUCGUG
rnacentral:rRNA from 1 species